rnacentral:rRNA from 1 species
UACGUAGGUGACCAGCGUUGUCCGGAUUUACUGGGCGUAAAGGGCGCGUAGGCGGCCUGUUAAGUCGAACGUGAAAUCCCUGGGCUCAACCCAGGAACUGCGUCCGAUACUGGCAGGCUUGAAUCCGGGAGAGGGAUGCGGAAUUCCAGGUGUAGCGGUGAAAUGCGUAGAUAUCGGGAGGAACACCAGUGGCGAAGGCGGCGAUCUGGGAAGAUACUGACGCUGAGGUGCGAAAGCGUGGGGAGCAAACAGG